rnacentral:rRNA from 1 species
AAUUUAAUUGCCCCCAUCAUUUUAGAGCAAUUCAAAUGAGGUACAGCCCAUUUGAUUCAGGAUUCAACCUUCGCUAAUGGGUAACAUAUCCCUCCACCCCAAGUAGGCCUAACAGCAGCCACCUUUAAAAAAGCGUCAAAGCUUAGCUCUGUGGAUCCAAUUUUCAAAUUUAUAUCGAGCCCUUUUUUAAUAGUGAGAACCUCUAUAGCCCUAUAGAGCUUUUUAUGCUAAGACUAGUAACAAGAGCUAGCCACUCUCCUAAAUGCAAAUUUAAUCCAGCAAGAACUAAUCGCUGGUAUUUAACGAAAUAAACAAGUUAGAAACUCACACUAGAAAACCCUAACGCCCCCCCCCCCGUUAACCUAACACUAGAGCAUUACUGGAAAGAUUAAAAGAAAAAGAAGGAACUCGGCAAACAAUGGCCUCGCCUGUUUACCAAAAACAUCGCCUCUUGUUACCCCUAAGAGGUCCCGCCUGCCCAGUGACUCUGUUCAACGGCCGCGGUAUCCUAACCGUGCAAAGGUAGCGUAAUCACUUGUCUUUUAAAUAAGGACUAGUAUGAAAGGCGCCACGAGGGCUAAGCUGUCUCCUUUUUCUAAUCAGUGAAUCUGAUCCCCCUGUGAAGAAGCAGGGAUAUUCGUAUAAGACGAGAAGACCCUAUGGAGCUUAAAACAUCACAACACUUGCUGACUUUCAAAUUAUUACACUCAUCACCCAAUCAGCAUACUGAUUGUAAGUUUUUGGUUGGGGUGACCGCGGAGAAUAACUAAUCCUCCACAGCGAAUGGGGAUUUCCUUAAACAAUAAGUUACAACUUUAUGUAUCAAUAAAUUGACACCCAUUGACCCAAUACACUUGAUCAACGAACCAAGUUACCCUAGGGAUAACAGCGCCAUCCACUUUAAGAGCUCCUAUCGACAAGUGGGCUUACGACCUCGAUGUUGGAUCGGGAUAUCCUAGUGGUGUAGUCGCUACUAAGGGUUCGUUUGUUCAACGAUUAAAAUCCCACGUGAUCUGAGUUCAGACCGGAGUAAUCCAGGUCAGUUUCUAUCUAUAAGGAGCUUUUUUCAGUACGAAAGGACCAAAAUAGCACGGCCAAUACCAUCUCAAGCCGUAAUUAGUUAUUUUUGAUUCAACUAAAAAAAUCCACUACUCCACAACUCACCCC